rnacentral:lncRNA from 1 species
GGAUAUUAAUCAAACUCCAGUCAAGUGUUCUGCCGAUCAAUCAUGCCUUAAAUCAUGCUCGCAAGGAUCUUCCAGCGAAACUGGUAAAUAACUGAUCCUCUCCCUCUCAUUGCCAUCUAUGUUAUUUGAAUAAAGGAUUCUUGUUCAUCGUGUUCCCCAUCUUAAAACCAUCUGAAACACUCAUUUUGAUGGAUUGCGGUACUCAAAUCAGAAUGCAUGUUAUCAGCUCUGUCUUCUGAAAGAAUAACGUCCGUUUGAUACAAGAGAAGACCAAAAUAGAAAAAACAAAGGCUGGGCUUUUCAAAACUCCUUCCUAAUGUUAGAGCUAGCUAUCUGGCUGCUUCUACUGCCACACAAAGAAGGAUAACCUUUAAUGUAUAGCUUUUUGUCCAUUCUCGUUUGAGUAUGUAAUGGCCUAAAAGUCAGUCAAGCUUGUUGUUUGGUCAGAUAAUGCAAGCAGAAAAGUGAGUCAUAGUCUGGUCCGAACAUUACUAUUUGCACACAUUGCUACUUCUGUCUCAGUCAUGAUCUCAUCACCAUUUAUUUUGCUGCUGCUGCAACUGCUACUACUUCUGCAGGAUUGCCAAGCUGCUGCUGCUGCAGAUGGGGGAAAUUGUGAACCUUCGUCUUGUGGGAACAUCCCCGUCAUUAAGGACCCUUUUCUACUCACCACCGAUCCCCAUAUAUGUGGAGAUUACAACUAUAGCCUGUCAUGUCAGAGCAAUACGACAAUAUUGUAUCUGAUGAACUCUUCUGCAAGAUUCUAUGUGCAAGCAAUCAACUACA